rnacentral:rRNA from 1 species
GAUGAACGCUGGCGGCGUGCUUAACACAUUCAAGUCGAACGGUGAAGUGACUUCGGUCAUGGAUCAGUGGCGGACGGGUGAGUAACGCGUGAGCAACCUGCCUCUGUUUGUGGGAUAACGUUUGGAAACGAACGCUAAUACCGCAUAAUGUAUCCUGAUCGCAUGAUUGGGAUACCAAAGAUUUAUUGAACAGAGAUGGGCUCGCGUCCGAUUAGAUAGUUGGUGAGGUAACGGCUCACCAAGUCGACGAUCGGUAGCCGGACUGAGAGGUCGAACGGCACAUUGGAACUGAGAAACGGUCCAGACUCCUACGGAGGCAGCAGUGGGGAAUAUUGGGCAAUGGCGAAAGCCUGACCCAGCGACGCCGCGUGAGGGAAGAAGGUCUUCGGAUUGUAACCUUAGUCAACAGGGAAGAAGCAAGUNACGGUACCUGUGGAGGAAGCCAACGGGCU